rnacentral:rRNA from 1 species
CCUACGGGAGGCAGCAGUGGGGAAUAUUGCACAAUGGGGGGAACCCUGAUGCAGCGACGCCGCGUGGGUGAAGGAGUAUUUCGGUAUGUAAAGCCCUAUCAGCAGGGAAGAACAAUGACGGUACCUGACUAAGAAGCACCGGCUAAAUACGUGCCAGCAGCCGCGGUAAUACGUAUAGUGCAAGCGUUAUCCGGAUUUACUGGGUGUAAAGGGAGCGCAGGCGGCGCGUUAAGCCUGGUGUGAAAGUCCGCGGCCCAACCGCGGGACUGCAUUGGGAACUGGCGCGCUGGAGUGCCGGAGGGGUAGGCGGAAUUCCUAGUGUAGCGGUGAAAUGCGUAGAUAUUAGGAGGAACACCAGUGGCGAAGGCGGCCUACUGGACGGUGACUGACGCUGAGGCUCGAAAGCGUGGGGAGCAAACAGGAUUAGAUACCCCAGUAGUC